rnacentral:rRNA from 1 species
CCUACGGGAGGCAGCAGUGGGGAAUAUUGCACAAUGGGGGAAACCCUGAUGCAGCGACGCCGCGUGAAGGAAGAAGUAUUUCGGUAUGUAAACUUCUAUCAGCAGGGAAGAAAAUGACGGUACCUGACUAAGAAGCCCCGGCUAACUACGUGCCAGCAGCCGCGGUAAUACGUAGGGGGCAAGCGUUAUCCGGAUUUACUGGGUGUAAAGGGAGCGUAGGCGGUAUAGCAAGUCAGAAGUGAAAGCCCAGGGCUAAACUCCGGGACUGCUUUUGAAACUGUUGAACUAGAGUGCAGGAGAGGUAAGUGGAAUUCCUAGUGUAGCGGUGAAAUGCGUAGAUAUUAGGAGGAACACUAGUGGCGAAGGCGGCUUACUGGACUGUAAAUGACGCUGAGGCUCGAAAGCGUGGGGAGCAAACAGGAUUAGAUACCCGGGUAGUC